UACAUGUGUUAUUUUAUAAACACGAGCAAUCCUAAUCUGAGCCAUUAACAUCUCUUGUGCUGUCAUUCUUUCAGUGGAAAUUGCUCCUGCUCUUUAUACCAGUCGAUGAGAUAUCUGUGUGUACAGACCAGGUCAGAAAUUUGACCACAAAUCCUAUCAACCUCUAUUACUUAUUACAUGGGACUUAGAAAACAAUCAAAGUACAGCUUUAAUUCUAUAUUAUUCUGUACUUGUACUUAGGACUUGAGUGCAACCAUUGAUGCAACAGUAAAUAGAGUGGAACAGACACUGGACUCUCUUCAUAAGAAGUUGAAACGUACACUGGUUCAUGUUGUUGUUUGGAGUGGACUGUCACAUGACCGGUCAGUAUGAGACAAUUCUUCAAAACCCAAUUCUGAUAAUAUUUUGCAAUGAACAGUUUAAUUAAAGGUGUUUAUGCUUUUUAGAGUGUGUCAAUGUGAGGAAGAAUGUGAUGAAGACAGACACAGACUGGAUACUAUAGUGCUCAUGGCUGUAUUGCAGAAAUCUGUCAGUGCUCUUCUAGAGAGAAGAGGCUGGUUUGGUGACCGGAAAGAUUUCAGCGUAAUGCUUCAAUCCAGUCCAGUGUACACCGAACUGUCAAACCCAGUGAGUCUGCAACACUCAGAGAUCAUUUUAAAUGGGCCACUAGAUAGAUAGAUACAUAUAGACAGACAUUUGAAUAAUAAACAUUAUAGAUGGCAAAAUUUUUAUGGAUUUUACACAACAUACACAAAUAUCAAUUGUCUAUUUAACAUGUAUUAUGUUGAAUUAAAGUAUUAGAUUUAUACUGGUAUAAAACAAACGUUUAAUUAAAUUUAUUUUUCUUCUACUCAGAUGAAAGCCUCUACAUCUAACUCCUCACGUGACAUAAGAUUGUUGACUUUACAGCUCUGGACUAAUUUGCUGCAGCCAAUGACAGAUAAGACUGAGAUGAAUGGGCGGGGCAUAUUCACCAUUCCAUGCCCCACAGUGAAAAAUCCAUUUUUGCGAACACAGAAAAACUCAUACUCGCCUGAGCUCGUUAACUCCCAAACAGAGGAAGCCUCUCCACUUCUCCACCCAGUGAUGGGGAGUGAGCUCACCUGUGAGGACAGGUCUCCAUCUCCCAGCAUCCCUACCUCAGGUAAACAGGGAUCUCAAACCUGUAGUGCACCCUGGUUGGAAAUUAUUCUUUUUUUUAAGCUUGUUUCUGUCUGUCUCUUCUAUAGUCCAUGCCUUACGGCCAGCAGAUAUCAAAGUGGUGGCAGCAAUGGGCAAAUCUUUGACGGUAAUAAAUAUACAAAUUUUAAUGUAUUAAUGAUAUUUGCUAAUACUAAAGAUCCUUUUUAACAAAUACAGUAUGCACUACAACUGAAAGUUUGGAGUCUGUACAAAUUUAAAAGAAGUCUCUUAUGCUCACGGCUGCAUUUUCUUUGUUAAAAAUACAGUAUGAACAGUGAUAAUUUUUUGUAACAUUAAAAGUCUAUGCUGUUGCUUAUCAUUUUAAUGCAUGGUUGCUAAAGAAUUGACCUUACUGAUGGCAAACUUUAGAACAUUGGUGAAUAUACAAGUUGUGAUGUCAUUUCCUUUCCCCAAAAAAACAGGCAGCCAAUGGGGUGGGUGCUGCACAACACAAUCUUCUGGGUGUGCUUACAGAGUAUCGCGGCCUGUCAUGGAGGUGAGUGUCUACCCCGAUCACACUGUGAACCAUCAGUUUAUUGCACACAAAUAUUGCUUUUUCCAUAUAAUUUACAGAAUAAAAUUUUUAUCUAAAUGAUCA
ensembl:lncRNA